rnacentral:rRNA from 1 species
GACGAACGCUGGCGGCGUGCUUAACACAUGCAAGUCGAACGGAAAGGCCCUGAUCUUGUGGGUUGCUCGUUUGGCGAACGGGUGAGUAACACGUGAGUAACCUGCCCUUGUCUUAGGGAUAAAUCCACGAAACUGGGGAUCUUAUAGCGUAUAAUCUCUUGAACCGCGUGGGGGGAAGGUAAGUGUCGGUCGUUGGGGCUGGACUAGCUGCUUCUCAGCUUGUUGGUGGAGUAGUGACUUACCAAGGCUGUGACGGGUAGCCGGCAUGGGAGCGUGACCGGCGACAUUGGUACUGCGGUACGGCCCAGACGGCUACGGUCGGCAGCAGUGGGGAAUAUUGCGGAAUGGGCGGAAGCGUGAUGCAGCAGCGCCGCGUGCGGAAUGACGGCCUUCGGGUGGUAAACCGCUGUCGCAGGUGACGAAGCGUGAGUGACGGUAAUUGGUAAGGAAGCAACGGCUAACUACGUG